GGAGAGUAGCUCAGUGGUAGAGCACGUGCUUAGCACGCAUGAGGUCCUGGGCUCAAUCCUCAGUACCUCCU
rnacentral:tRNA from 1 species